rnacentral:rRNA from 1 species
AUACGGAGGGUGCAAGCGUUAUCCGGAUUUAUUGGGUUUAAAGGGUUCGUAGGCGGAUCAAUAAGUCAGUGGUGAAAGCCUGUGGCUCAACCAUAGAACUGCCAUUGAUACUGUUGAUCUUGAGUACACUUGAAGUGGGCGGAAUGCGUCAUGUAGCGGUGAAAUGCAUAGAUAUGACGCAGAACACCGAUUGCGAAGGCAGCUCACUAAAUUGUAACUGACGCUGAGGAACGAAAGCGUGGGGAGCGAACAGGAUUAGAAACCCCAGUAGUCC